rnacentral:rRNA from 1 species
AAGCGGCAAGAGCUCAGAUUUGAAAUCGUGUUUCGGCACGAGUUGUAGAGUGUAGGCUGGAGUCUCUGUGGAGCGCGGUGUCCAAGUCCCUUGGAACAGGGUGCCUGAGAGGGUGAGAGCCCCGUGGGGUGCUGCGCGAAGCUUUGAGGCCCUGCUGACGAGUCGAGUUGUUUGGGAAUGCAGCUCUAAGCGGGUGGUAAAUUCCAUCUAAGGCUAAAUAUUGGCGAGAGACCGAUAGCGAACAAGUACUGUGAAGGAAAGAUGAAAAGCACUUUGAAAAGAGAGUGAAACAGCACGUGAAAUUGUUGAAAGGGAAGGGUAUUGGGCCCGACAUGGGGAGUGCGCACCGCUGUCUCUUGUAGGCGGCGCUCUGGGCGCUCUCUGGGCCAGCAUCGGUUCUUGCUGCGAGAGAAGUGGCGCCGGAAAGUGGCUCUUCGGAGUGUUAUAGCCGGUGCCGGAUGUCGCGUGCGGGGACCGAGGGCUGCGACAUCUGUCUCGGAUGCUGGCACAACGGCGCAAUACCGCCCGUCUUGA